rnacentral:rRNA from 1 species
UAAUUUAAGGUCUGACCUGCCCACUGAAUAGUUUGAAUGGCCGCAGUAUUUUAACUGUGCAAAGGUAGCAUAAUCAUUAGUCUUUUAAUUGAAGGCUUGUAUGAAUGGUUGGACGAGAUAUUGACUGUCUCAUAUAAAUUGAUUUAGAAUUUUAUUUUUUAGUUAAAAAGCUAAAAUUUUAAUAAAAGACGAGAAGACCCUAUAGAUCUUUAUAGAUUAUAGAUUAUAGUUAUUUAGAUAAUUUAAAUUAUAAUUGAUUAAUUUAUUUUGUUGGGGUGACAUUAAAAUUUAAUAAACUUUUAAUAAUUUGUUACAUUGAUUUAUGAUUAGUUGAUCCAUUAUUAAUGAUUAAAAAAUUAAGUUACCUUAGGGAUAACAGCGUAAUUUUUUUGGAGAGUUCAUAUCGAUAAAAAAGAUUGCGACCUCGAUGUUGGAUUAAGAUAUAAUUUUGGGUGCAGCAAUUCAAUUAUUAAGUCUGUUCGAC